GACGAACGCUGGCGGCGUGCCUAAUACAUGCAAGUCGAACGCUGAAGGAGGAGCUUGCUUCUCUGGAUGAGUUGCGAACGGGUGAGUAACGCGUAGGUAACCUGCCUGGUAGCGGGGGAUAACUAUUGGAAACGAUAGCUAAUACCGCAUAAUAGUAGAUGUUGCAUGACAUUUGCUUAAAAGGUGCAAUUGCAUCACUACCAGAUGGACCUGCGUUGUAUUAGCUAGUUGGUGGGGUAACGGCUCACCAAGGCGACGAUACAUAGCCGACCUGAGAGGGUGAUCGGCCACACUGGGACUGAGACACGGCCCAGACUCCUACGGGAGGCAGCAGUAGGGAAUCUUCGGCAAUGGACGGAAGUCUGACCGAGCAACGCCGCGGGAGUGAAGAAGGUUUUCGGAUCGUAAAGCUCUGUUGUAAGAGAAGAACGAGUGUGAGAGUGGAAAGUUCACACUGCGACGGUAGCUUACCAGAAAGGGACGGCUAACUACGUG
rnacentral:rRNA from 1 species